rnacentral:tRNA from 1 species
GUGGUCGUCGUCUAAUGGCAGGACGUCAGAUUGUGGCUCUGAAAAUGAAGGUUCGAUUCCCUUCGAUCACCCCA